rnacentral:rRNA from 1 species
AGAGUUUGAUCCUGGCUCAGGACGAACGCUGGCGGCGUGCCUAAUACAUGCAAGUCGAGCGAGCGGAACUAACAGAUUUACUUCGGUAAUGACGUUAGGAAAGCGAGCGGCGGAUGGGUGAGUAACACGUGGGGAACCUGCCCCAUAGUCUGGGAUACCACUUGGAAACAGGUGCUAAUACCGGAUAAGAAAGCAGAUCGCAUGAUCAGCUUUUAAAAGGCGGCGUAAGCUGUCGCUAUGGGAUGGCCCCGCGGUGCAUUAGCUAGUUGGUAAGGUAAAGGCUUACCAAGGCGAUGAUGCAUAGCCGAGUUGAGAGACUGAUCGGCCACAUUGGGACUGAGACACGGCCCAAACUCCUACGGGAGGCAGCAGUAGGGAAUCUUCCACAAUGGACGCAAGUCUGAUGGAGCAACGCCGCGUGAGUGAAGAAGGUCUUCGGAUCGUAAAACUCUGUUGUUAGAGAAGAACACGAGUGAGAGUAACUGUUCAUUCGAUGACGGUAUCUAACCAGCAAGUCACGGCUAACUACGUGCCAGCAGCCGCGGUAAUACGUAGGUGGCAAGCGUUGUCCGGAUUUAUUGGGCGUAAAGCGAGCGCAGGCGGAAGAAUAAGUCUGAUGUGAAAGCCCUCGGCUUAACCGAGGAACUGCAUCGGAAACUGUUUUUCUUGAGUGCAGAAGAGGAGAGUGGAACUCCAUGUGUAGCGGUGGAAUGCGUAGAUAUAUGGAAGAACACCAGUGGCGAAGGCGGCUCUCUGGUCUGCAACUGACGCUGAGGCUCGAAAGCAUGGGUAGCGAACAGGAUUAGAUACCCUGGUAGUCCAUGCCGUAAACGAUGAGUGCUAGGUGUUGGAGGGUUUCCGCCCUUCAGUGCCGCAGCUAACGCAUUAAGCACUCCGCCUGGGGAGUACGACCGCAAGGUUGAAACUCAAAGGAAUUGACGGGGGCCCGCACAAGCGGUGGAGCAUGUGGUUUAAUUCGAAGCAACGCGAAGAACCUUACCAGGUCUUGACAUCCUUUGACCACCUAAGAGAUUAGGCUUUCCCUUCGGGGACAAAGUGACAGGUGGUGCAUGGCUGUCGUCAGCUCGUGUCGUGAGAUGUUGGGUUAAGUCCCGCAACGAGCGCAACCCUUGUUGUCAGUUGCCAGCAUUAAGUUGGGCACUCUGGCGAGACUGCCGGUGACAAACCGGAGGAAGGUGGGGACGACGUCAAGUCAUCAUGCCCCUUAUGACCUGGGCUACACACGUGCUACAAUGGACGGUACAACGAGUCGCGAGACCGCGAGGUUUAGCUAAUCUCUUAAAGCCGUUCUCAGUUCGGAUUGUAGGCUGCAACUCGCCUACAUGAAGUCGGAAUCGCUAGUAAUCGCGGAUCAGCACGCCGCGGUGAAUACGUUCCCGGGCCUUGUACACACCGCCCGUCACACCAUGGGAGUCUGCAAUGCCCAAAGCCGGUGGCCUAACCUUCGGGAAGGAGCCGUCUAAGGCAGGGCAGAUGACUGGGGUGAAGUCGUAACAAGGUAGCCGUAGGAGAACCUGCGGCUG